rnacentral:lncRNA from 1 species
CACAGCCUCACAUGACCACUGAGCACUUGAAAUGUAGUUAAUAUGCUAAGAAAGCCCAUUUAAAUUUUUAUUUUCAACUUACUUAAAUUCAAAGAGCCACAGGGGUCUAGUGGCUCCUGUAUUGACAGCACAGGGCCACCUUGUUAGUGGCAUCAUUUAUAACCCUGGGCAGCAUUGCUAUAGGAAUAGCCAUAUCCUGUAGGUCUAUAAUGCUGUAGAAAUGGAAUGUGUGGUGCGAAUGAAAUUUAAAAUUUAAGUAGCCACGGUGAAAAAAAAAGAGAAACAAGUAAAAUUCAUUUCAUAAUAUGCUUUAUCUCUAUUUCCAAAAUAUUAUCAUCUCAACAUGUAAGAAAUAUAAGAAGUAUUCAUGAGAUAUUUUACAUUCCUUUGUUCAUCAUAAGUGUUUGAGAUCCCAUGUGUGUCUGACACAGCACCUGACUUUGAACUCACCACAUUUCGAGUGCCCCAUAGCCCAUGUGGCCAUGGUUUAGAGAUUUCAGAAAGCAUUCAUGGAAAAUUCUCUUUCCUGAUCCUCAUUCACUAUCCUGGGAAGUGGCCAGAUAAGGAAGCAAGGCCCAGAAGGGCCCAGCCAGUGGCUCUCAGACUCCAGAGUCAUCGAGUCCCUCACUCGAGGGCAGGUUAACUCACAGAUGGCUGGCCCCCACCCUCUGCAUUUGCCAUCCAGCAGGUCUGGGUGGGUACCAGGAUGCGGAUUCGUAACAGGAGAGGCUGAUGCUGCCAGUCUGGGUCCACAUUUUGAGAAGCAUUCCUCCAAGGGUCCCACCCACGCUCAUACCCCAGCCAGAGGUUCUGAAGAUUGCUUGAGGUUGCAAGUACCUCCAAGCUUGAGCAGCAGUUUUGAAGUGUGGAGAUGGGAGGUGAGUUAUUCACAUCUCUAACAAAGGAGCUGCUGCUUCUGGCUUCAGGAGGGGCUGAGAGGCCCCUGAUUCACUAUCUCAUCACUGGGCUGGAAGCUCCACAGGGAUCAGUUAGGCCUGUGGGCCAUGCUUUCAGCACUUGGAGGAGAAGAUCCCUUAGACUCAGCCUUUGGCUCCAUGCCACUCUUGACAAUGUACAGGGAAGCCACUUGGACCUGAUGCUGGAGUUUAAUCAACAGACAAGGAAGAGGCCCCAGUGUGUACUGGGCAAAAGAACGGGACGGGUGUGCUGAAAAGCGUCUCAUAAACAGACUUUGUUUUCCUGUGUUUUAACUCAGCGUGAAAGUUUCUCUAGGUCUCCUCUCCUGGGGGAGAAAGGUAGCGGCUGGUUUCCUGUUCCAUUGCUUCUUUAGUAUCCUGAGAGAGAACAGCCAUGGGCACCCAGCUGCCCCAGCCUCUUCCUGUCCCAGGGCCCCGAGGCUGCCCUUCAGCGGUCUCCAGCUUCCUGCUCCUGUAAGCAGGGGCCUCUCUUUUUGGCUUUCCUGACAUUUCUCCUGACCUCUUCUGCUAGCCCUCCUGAACGCACAGUAAUAUCUGUACAUUGCAGUUGGUCCCCAGGCUGCUGCCUCUCUGUCUCUCCAUCUAAUGUUGCAUCUGUGCACUUUAGAAGUACCCGGGAGCCUUCAAAAUAUUUGGAUGCCUGGACACCACUCCAGAUAAUUCAGUCAGAGUCUCUGAAGACAGGGCCCAGGCA